UAGAGAAAGGCAAAACUAUCGCAAGGUAGUGACGCAAAGCUAUAGGGUCUGUGCUUGAUGGCGCAGAUAGCCAGUUGCCG
rnacentral:ncRNA from 1 species